rnacentral:rRNA from 1 species
UGAACUCGCUGUGAAGAUGCAGUGUACCCGCGGCAAGACGGAAAGACCCCGUGAACCUUUACUAUAGCUUGACACUGAACAUUGAGCCUUGAUGUGUAGGAUAGGUGGGAGGCUUUGAAGUGUGGACGCCAGUCUGCAUGGAGCCGACCUUGAAAUACCACCCUUUAAUGUUUGAUGUUCUAACGUGGACCCGUGAUCCGGGUUGCGGACAGUGUCUGGUGGGUAGUUUGACUGGGGCGGUCUCCUCCUAAAGAGUAACGGAGGAGCACGAAGGUUGGCUAAUCCUGGUCGGACAUCAGGAGGUUAGUGCAAUGGCAUAAGCCAGCUUGACUGCGAGCGUGACGGCGCGAGCAGGUGCGAAAGCAGGUCAUAGUGAUCCGGUGGUUCUGAAUGGAAGGGCCAUCGCUCAACGGAUAAAAGGUACUCCGGGGAUAACAGGCUGAUACCGCCCAAGAGUUCAUAUCGACGGCGGUGUUUGGCACCUCGAUGUCGGCUCAUCACAUCCUGGGGCUGAAGUAGGUCCCAAGGGUAUGGCUGUUCGCCAUUUAAAGUGGUACGCGAGCUGGGUUUAGAACGUCGUGAGACAGUUCGGUCCCUAUCUGCCGUGGGCGCUGGAGAACUGAGGGGGGCUGCUCCUAGUACGAGAGGACCGGAGUGGACGCAUCACUGGUGUUCGGGUUGUCAUGCCAAUGGCACUGCCCGGUAGCUAAAUGCGGAAGAGAUAAGUGCUGAAAGCAUCUAAGCACGAAACUUGCCCCGAGAUGAGUUCUCCCUGAGACUUAGAGUCUCCUGAAGGAACGUUGAAGACGACGACGUUGAUAGGCCGGGUGUGUAAGCGCAGCGAUGCGUUGAGCUAACCGGUACUAAUGAACCGUGAGGCUUAACCUUACA